UGGAUAACCUACCGAAGGUGCUUCCCUUGC
rnacentral:piRNA from 1 species